UACGGAGGGUGCAAGCGUUAUCCGGAUUCACUGGGUUUAAAGGGUGCGUAGGUGGGCAAGUAAGUCAGUGGUGAAAUCUCCGGGCUUAACCCGGAAACUGCCAUUGAUACUAUUUGUCUUGAAUACUGUGGAGGUCAGCGGAAUAUGUCAUGUAGCGGUGAAAUGCUUAGAUAUGACAUAGAACACCAAUUGCGAAGGCAGCUGGCUACACAAAUAUUGACACUGAGGCACGAAAGCGUGGGGAGCAAACGGG
rnacentral:rRNA from 1 species